UGGGGAAUCUUGCGCAAUGGCCGAAAGGCUGACGCAGCGACGCCGCGUGGGGGAGGAAGGCCUUCGGGUUGUAAACCCCUGUUGCCCGGGACGAAUGUGCUCCAUUGGGAGCAUUGACGGUACCGGGUGAGGAAGCACCGGCUAACUCCGUGCCAGCAGCCGCGGUAAUACGGAGGGUGCAAGCGUUGUCCGGAAUCACUGGGCGUAAAGGGCGCGUAGGCGGCUCAUGAAGGCUGUGGUGAAAGUCCGGGGCUCAACCUCGGAUCGGCCGUGGCGACUCGUGGGCUGGAGCACUGUAGAGGCGGGUGGAAUUCCGGGUGUAGCGGUGGAAUGCGUAGAGAUCCGGAAGAACACCAGUGGCGAAGGCGGCCCGCUGGGCAGUGGCUGACGCUGAAGCGCGACAGCGUGGGGAGCAAACA
rnacentral:rRNA from 1 species